rnacentral:rRNA from 1 species
GGAGUUAGGAAAUGUAAGGAUGUUAAUAGUAUUCUUACUUGACUAAGGCUCCGGAGGAAGCCACGGCUAACUCUGUGCCAGCAGCCGCGGUAAUACAGAGGUGGCAAGCGUUGUUCGGAAUUAUUGGGCGUAAAGAGCACGUAGGCGGCCCUGCAAGUCAGCUGUGAAAGCCUCCUGCUUAACGGGAGAAGUGCAGUUGAAACUACGGGGCUAGAGUGCGGAAGGGGAGAGUGGAACUUCUGGU